CAUGCAAGUCGAGCGGUAAGGCCUUUCGGGGUACACGAGCGGCGAACGGGUGAGUAACACGUGGGUGACCUGCCCUCAGCUCUGGGAUAAGCCUGGGAAACUGGGUCUAAUACCGGAUAUGACCUUCUGCUGCAUGGCAGGGGGUGGAAAGUUUUUCGGCUGGGGAUGGGCCCGCGGCCUAUCAGCUUGUUGGUGGGGUGAUGGCCUACCAAGGCGACGACGGGUAGCCGGCCUGAGAGGGCGACCGGCCACACUGGGACUGAGAUACGGCCCAGACUCCUACGGGAGGCAGCAGUGGGGAAUAUUGCGCAAUGGGCGAAAGCCUGACGCAGCGACGCCGCGUGGGGGAUGACGGCCUUCGGGUUGUAAACCUCUUUCGACCGGGACGAAGCGUGAGUGACGGUACCGGUAGAAGAAGCACCGGCCAACUACGUGCCAGCAGCCGCGGUAAUACGUAGGUGGCAAGCGUUGUCCGGAAUUAUUGGGCGUAAAGCGCGCGCAGGCGGUUCCUUAAGUCUGAUGUGAAAGCCCACGGCUCAACCGUGGAGGGUCAUUGGAAACUGGGGAACUUGAGUGCAGAAGAGGAGAGCGGAAUUCCACGUGUAGCGGUGAAAUGCAUAGAGAUGUGGAGGAACACCAGUGGCGAAAGCGGCUCUCUGGUCUGUAACUGACGCUGA
rnacentral:rRNA from 1 species